rnacentral:tRNA from 1 species
CGCCGUAGCUCAGACUGGUUAGAGCGCUACGCUCAUAACGUAGAAGUCCGGGGUUCAAAUCCCCGCGGCGCCA